GGCUUUUCUUUUCUUGGGAUGUACAGCAGACUUCUCUUGGCAGCCCUACAUUUCAAUAGUAAUGGCAACAGAGAUGUAGCGCGAACUAGUGAGGGUGAGGUACGCUACGCUGUUCGCUACCCACGGUUUCGGAAAGGUGGCUGGGUAGUCCACCCCAUCAAGGAGAAACCAUCUUACGGAUACGCAACAAAUCUUAUGGUCUCUCUGGUAGAGGAAUACUGCAAGUCACCACAGGCCCUACAAGAAAGCAGUGCCGUCUUGUCCUCUGCUGCACCGCCCCCCCUCACCUU